UGGACAGACUAUUGUAUUCGACUGUAUUAACGGCGUGAAAUAGGGGAUUACACUAUUUUUAAAACGGAAAGUUAAUCAAUUAAUAUAAUAGACUCCU
rfam:Nicotiana sylvestris Nsyl_contig53516, whole genome shotgun sequence.